rnacentral:lncRNA from 1 species
AUCUGUUCCAAGCAAUGACACCAAGCAGCUUCCUUUUGGAAAGGUCAGUCACAGUGAGUGUUUGGGUAAAGCCUAAAGCUGUUUGUACAUGCUAAGAGACUGCAGCUUGGCUUGGGUACCCCUGGGUCUGCACCCAGCUCUCCACACCAGCUUGACUCCCUAUGAUAAUUAGCCAUCUGUCUAUAGCUCUUCAGAGAAAGGCUGUGGGAAAGGGACACCCCAGGAAUGGAUGACAAAUUAAUGUGCUACUUAUCCUCGCCAACUCUUCCAGCUGGCUUAAUUCUCAUCAGCCACUAUAAUUUAUUAACAGUGAGGUGAUGCAGACUGAAGCUGACCACUCAUUGCCAGCUACUAAAGGUUUGAGAUCAUAAUGGAUAUAGUCAUCUCCAAAGCAUAAGAAACAGCAGAGUCGGAAAAGGUGUGUACUGAUAAAUGUUAAGCAACCUCCGAGGAAAAAAAAUGUACAUGUGACACACAUACAUCAUAUACAUGUGUCAUUAUAAAGACAGUUUGAUCUGCAUUAUCAGCAUUUUCUUUAUUACUCUCUUACUUCAUUUUCUUCAUUACUCUAGACAAG